rnacentral:rRNA from 1 species
CAGCAGCCACGGUAAUACGGAGGGUGCAAGCGUUAUCCGGAUUUAUUGGGUUUAAAGGGUCCGUAGGCGGACUUAUAAGUCAGUGGUGAAAGCCUGUCGCUUAACGAUAGAACUGCCAUUGAUACUGUAAGUCUUGAGUAUAUUUGAGGUAGCUGGAAUAAGUAGUGUAGCGGUGAAAUGCAUAGAUAUUACUUAGAACACCAAUUGCGAAGGCAGGUUACCAAGAUAUAACUGACGCUGAGGGACGAAAGCGUGGGUAGCGAACAGGAUUAGAUACCCCCGUAGUCCCUGUCUCUUAUAC